rnacentral:rRNA from 1 species
AGGGGCAGCAUGGUCUUAGCUUGCUAAGGCUGAUGGCGACCGGCGCACGGGUGAGUAACACGUAUCCAACCUGCCGUCUACUCUUGGCCAGCCUUCUGAAAGGAAGAUUAAUCCAGGAUGGGAUCAUGAGUUCACAUGUCCGCAUGAUUAAAGGUAUUUUCCGGUAGACGAUGGGGAUGCGUUCCAUUAGAUAGUAGGCGGGGUAACGGCCCACCUAGUCAACGAUGGAUAGGGGUUCUGAGAGGAAGGUCCCCCACAUUGGAACUGAGACACGGUCCAAACUCCUACGGGAGGCAGCAGUGAGGAAUAUUGGUCAAUGGGCGAUGGCCUGAACCAGCCAAGUAGCGUGAAGGAUGACUGCCCUAUGGGUUGUAAACUUCUUUUAUAAAGGAAUAAAGUCGGGUAUGCAUACCCGUUUGCAUGUACUUUAUGAAUAAGGAUCGGCUAACUCCGUGCCAGCAGCCGCGGUAAUACGGAGGAUCCGAGCGUUAUCCGGAUUUAUUGGGUUUAAAGGGAGCGUAGAUGGAUGUUUAAGUCAGUUGUGAAAGUUUGCGGCUCAACCGUAAAAUUGCAGUUGAUACUGGAUGUCUUGAGUGCAGUUGAGGCAGGCGGAAUUCGUGGUGUAGCGGUGAAAUGCUUAGAUAUCACGAAGAACUCCGAUUGCGAAGGCAGCCUGCUAAGCUGCAACUGACAUUGAGGCUCGAAA